CUACGGGGGGCACCAGUCGAGAAUAGUCUACAAUGGACGAAAGUCUGAUAGUGCGACGCCGCGUGGAUGAAGAAGCAUUUCGGUGUGUAAAGUCCUUUUCUGUGUGAGCAAUGUUUUCCAGGUUAAUAGCUUGGAGAAAGCGAUAUUAACACAGGAAUAAGCUCCGGCUAACUCCGUGCCAGCAGCCGCGGUAACACGGGGUGGAGCAAGCGUUGUCCGGAAUUACUAGGCGUAAAGGGUAAGUAGGCGGAAUUGUAAGUCAGAUGUUAAAGGCACCGGCUCAACCGGUGUAUGGCAUUUGAUACUGUAAUUCUAGAGUAAGGUGGGGGAAGACGGAAUUCCUGGUGUAGCGGUGGAAUGCGCAGAUAUCAGGAGGAACACCAGAGGCGCAGGCGGUCUUCUAUACCAUUACUGACGCUCAAUUACGAAGGUGUGGGUAUCAAACAGGAUUAGAUACCCGUGUAGUC
rnacentral:rRNA from 1 species